UACGUAGGGUGCGAGCGUUAAUCGGAAUUACUGGGCGUAAAGCGUGCGCAGGCGGUUUUGCAAGCCGGAUGUGAAAUCCCCGGGCUUAACCUGGGAACUGCAUUUGUGACUGCACGGCUAGAGUGUGUCAGAGGGGGGUAGAAUUCCACGUGUAGCAGUGAAAUGCGUAGAUAUGUGGAGGAAUACCGAUGGCGAAGGCAGCCCCCUGGGAUAACACUGACGCUCAUGCACGAAAGCGUGGGGAGCAAACAGG
rnacentral:rRNA from 1 species